GAUGAACGCUGGCGGCGUGCCUAAUACAUGCAAGUCGAGCGAACAGACGAGGAGCUUGCUCCUCUGACGUUAGCGGCGGACGGGUGAGUAACACGUGGAUAACCUACCUAUAAGACUGGGAUAACUUCGGGAAACCGGAGCUAAUACCGGAUACUAUAUUGAACCGCAUGGUUCAAUAGUGAAAGACGGUUUUGCUGUCACUUAUAGAUGGAUCCGCGCCGCAUUAGCUAGUUGGUACGGUAACGGCUUACCAAGGCGACGAUGCGUAGCCGACCUGAGAGGGGGAUCGGCCACACGGGAAGUGAGACACGGUCCAGGCGCCUACGGGAGGCAGCAGUAGGGAAUCUUACGCAAUGGGCGAAAGCCUGACGGAGCAACGCCGCGUGAGUGAUGAAGGUCUUCGGAUCGUAAAACUCUGUUAUUAGGGAAGAACAAAUGUGUAAGUAACUAUGCACGUCUUGACGGUACCUAAUCAGAAAGCCACGGCUAACUACGUG
rnacentral:rRNA from 1 species